CGACCCCAGGUUAGGCGAGAUUACCCAUUGAGUUUAAGCAUAUCAAUAAGAGAAGGAAAAGAAACUUACCAGGAUUCCCCUAGUAACGAUGAGCGAACUGGGAAUAGCCCAGCUUGAGAAUCGGGUUCCCUUGGGGUUUAAAUUGUAGUCUAGAGAAGCGUCGUCAGAGGUAGACCGGGCCUAAGUUCCCUAGAAGGGGGCGCCAGAGAGGGUGAGAGCCCCAUCGUGUCCGGACCCUGUCACACCACGAGGCGCUGUCUAUGAGUCAAGUUGUUUGGGAAUGCAGCCCAAAUCAGGCAGUAAAUCCGUCCAAGGCUAAAUACGAGUGAAAGAGUGAUAGCAAGCAAGUAUUGGGAGGGAAAGAUGAAAAGCACUUUGAAAAGAGAGUCAAAGAGUGCUUGAAAUUACCGGAAGGGAAGCAGAUGGGGGCCGGCGAUGUGCCCCGGUCAGAUGUGGAAUGGCUAAAAGCCAGUCUGCCUAUCGGCUCAGGGUGCGAACCGACGCGGAUUGCAGCGGCGGCCUAAGCCUAGGCUCUUGAUACACCUGCGGAGAUGCCGUCGAGGCGAUUAUAGACUGCAGCACGCGCCAUCAAGUCGUGCUUCGGCACCUGCGCACUUCGGGCGUCAACCAGCGGGCUCCCCAUUCGGCCCGUCUUGAAACACGGACCAAGGAGUCUGACAUGUGUGCGAGUCAACGGGCGAGUAAACCCGUAAGGCGUAAGGAAGUUGACUGGCGGAAUCCCCUUGUUGGUUGCACCGCCGACCGACCUUUAUCUUCUGAGAAGGGUUCGAGUGAGAGCAUGCCUGUCGGGACCCGAAAGAUGGUGAAGUUUGCCUGAGCGGGGUGAAGCUAGAAGAAACUCUGGUGGAGGCUCGCAGCGAUAGUGACGUGCAAAUCGUUCGUCUGACUUGGGUAUAGGGGCGAAAGACUAAUCGAACCGUCUAGUAGCUGGUUCCCCCUGAAGUUUCCCUCAAGAUAGCUGGAGCUCGGGUUACGGUGCCCAACUGCGUGCUAACCUAGAACCCACAAAGGGUUUUGGUCGAUUAAGACAGCAGGAUGAUGGUCAUGGAAGUUGAAAAUGGAUGGCGCUUAAGCGCGCGACCUAUACCUGGCCAUCGGGGCAAGAGGUAGGCCCCAAUGAGUAGGAGGGCACGGAGGUUGCUGCAAAACCUAGGGCGCGAGCGACCAUCGGUGCAGAUCUUAGUGGUAGUAGCAAAUAUUCAAAUGAGAGCUUUGAAGGCCGAAGAGGGGAAAGGUUCUAUAUGAACGGCACUUGCACAUGGGUUAGUUGAUCCUAAGAGAUGGGGGAAGCCCAUCCAAUAGCGCGUCCGCACGUGAACUUUGAAAGGGAAUCGGGUUAAAAUUCCCAAACCGGGAUGUGGCGGCUGACGGCAAUGGUAGGGAGUCCGAAGACGUCGGUGGGGGCCUCGAGAAGAGUUAUCUUUUCUAUUUAACAGCCUGCCCACCCUGGAAACGACUCAGUCAGAGGUAGGGUCUAAUGGCUGGAAGAGCACCAAACAUCGCACGGUGUCCGGUGCGCGCCCGGCAGCCCAUGAAAAUUCAGAGGACCGAGUGCCAUCCACGCCCGAUCAUACUCAUAACUGCAUCAGGUCUCCAAGGUGAAUAGCCUCUGGUCAAUAGAACAAUGCAGGCAAGGGAAGUCCGGAAAAUGAUCCAUAACCUCGGGAAAAGGAUUGGCUCUGAGGGCUAGCCUGGGGGUCCUAGUCUAGAACCCGUCGGCUAUCGGCAGACUAAUCGAGCUGCUCCCGCGGUGAGAGCGGAUCGCCGCGUGUCGGCCGGAGGACGGACUGGGAACAGCCUCUUCGGUGGCCUUCCCUGGGCGUCGAACAGUCGACUCAAAACUGGUACGAAUAAGAGGAAUCAGACUGUUUAAUUAAAAUAAAGCAUUGCGAUGGUCCCUGCGGAUGCUCACACAAUGUGAUUUCUGACCAGUGCUUUGAAUGUCAAAGUGAAGAAAUUCAACCAAGCGUGGGUAAACGGCGGGAGUAACUAUGACUCUCUUAAGGUAGCCAAAUGCCUUUUCAUCUAAUUAGAGAUGCGCGUGAAUGGAUUAACGAGAUUCCCACUGUCCCUGUCUACUAUCCAGCGAAACCACAGCCAAAGGAACGGGCUUGGCAAAAUCAGCGGGGAAAGAAGACCCUGUUGAGCUUGACUCUAGUCCGACUUUGUGAAAUGACUUGAGAGGUGCAGGAUAAGUGGGAGCCUUAAUCGGCGACAGUGAAAUACCACUACUUUUAAUGUUAUUUUAGUUAUUCCGUGAAUCGGAGGCGGGGCUAUGCCCCUCUUUUUGGACCCAAGGUCGCUUCGGCGGCCGAUCCAGGCGGAAGACAUUGUCAUGUGGGGAGUUUGGCUGGGGCGGCAUAUCCAUUAAAAGAUAACGCAUGUGUCCUAAGAUGAGCUCAACGAGAAUAGAAAUCUUGUGUCGAACAAAAGGGUAAAAGCUAGUUUGAUUUUGAUUUUCAGUACGAAUACGAACCGUGAAAGCGUGGCCUAUCGAUCCUUUAAACAUUCGAAAUUUGAAGCUAGAGGUGUCAGAAAAGUUACCACAGGGAUAACUGGCUUGUGGCAGCCAAGUGUUCAUAGCGACGUUGCCUUUUUAUUCUUCAAUGUCGGCUCUUCCUAUCAUUGUGAAGCAGAAUUCACUAAGUGUUGGAUUGUUCACCCACCAAUAGGGAACGUGAGCUGGGUUUAGACCGUCGUGAGACAAGUUAGUUUUACCCUACUGAUGAUUGUGUCGUAAUGGUAAUUCAACCUGGUACGAGAGGAACUGUUGAUUCGCACAAUUGGUCAUCGCGCUUGGUUGAAUAGCCAGUGGCGCGAAUAUAACGUGCGCUGGAUUAUGACUGAAUGGCUCUAAGUUAGAAUCCGGGCCAGAAGCGACGCAUUAUCCGCCGCUCAUUUGCCAACCAGCAGUAAGGGCCCUCUGGCUCCCAAAGGCAUGUGUCAUUGGCUAAGCCCUCCCGGCAGACGAGCCAUGCGGGCCUCCUUGAAUUACAAUUUCCACUGAGCGGCGGACUGAAUCCUUUGCAGACCACUAAAAUACGUGAUGGGGUAUUAUAAGUGGCAGAGUGGCCUUAUUGCCAUGAUCCACUGAGAUUCAGCCCUUCAUCACUCUGAUUCGU
rnacentral:rRNA from 1 species